ensembl:ncRNA C06A6.9 ncRNA
CCUCCCGAACUGUACACGUCGAUUAAACGAUUAUUGUGUUGGUAGAAGAGGAGAAAAGUUUUCUUCAUUUUUCUUUUUUUGUUUUACUUUUCUUUCUUACUCGCAGGUACAAAUUAUUCAAUUUAAAAGCACCACUCGGAACCACUGA